UAGAUGGAGGCCAGUUUGUCCGAUAUAAACUUGGUUGCAAUCAUUGCAAGAUAUUUUAUACACAACAUUGGAUCAUUUGCCCUUGGGGAUCCUAUCUUUUCCUGUGUCAAAGACUAUUUGUAAAUCUUUUGAAUUUUUUCCCAAAAACUUGACAUUAUGUUUGGUAAAUAGAUGGUUCAAUAACUCAAAGAGACCAGAUACAUAUGGGAUGGGAAGAAAUGUAUUAGUAAGUCUAUUGUUGUCGCCUGCGGGAGCAGAGUCAAUAUUGUUGUCAAGGACUGCAGUUAGAAUAUCGUCAACAUAUCGGAAAUAGAAAGGUAAAUCAAAAUCUAGAUUGCUAAUGCAUGACCUUUCUAAGUCUUCCAUGACCAGAUCUGACAGGAUUGGAGAGAGAGGGGAUCCCAUGGGCAACCCGAAUUGUUGUGCAUACGUGUCAUUGUUAAAUUUGAAGAUUGCCGAAUCAAAACAAAUUUUUAAAGCUUUAUCUAGUUCACUAAGUGGAAUCGGGAUCUUUUUUUCUAGAGAAACCCAACGGUUGUUUACUGCGUGCAUAGCAAGGUCUGUUGGAACGUUGGUGAAAAGAGAUAUUACAUCUAGCGAUAUUAAAGUGUAGUUGUCUGGGAUAAUCAAUGUUUUUAUUUUUUCAACUAAAGUAAUGCUGUCCUUAACUCUGGAGGUGGGAGGUGUGAUAUUUGUGGUGAGCCAUGAAUUAAUUAACUUGGAUAAGGCAUGACGUUCAUGACGUCUAACCUUUUGCCUUAACACUCUAGCUGCUCAAUUGUGUUUCUGCAAGUACUUGAUAAUAACUCUGUAAUCACUAGGGUGUUUAAAAUAUUCCGAUUUGAAAUCACCAAGCACUUUCUAGUGUACUGGAUUUUAUCAUUGAAAGUACUUUCAUUUCCUGAAUUUUUUUUUGUGUUAGAAACAAUAAAAGAAAUAAAUAUCAGUCAACCAGCCCAUUCAAUGUUUGUACAAACCCAUUCAAUCGCUGGUUGAUAUUGCUUACUCCUUUUAAUGGUUCACUUGGCAUUGUCUCCUGGCAGAAAUCAUAAUGAGGUGUUAUGUCUCGAGCAAUACU
rnacentral:lncRNA from 1 species